AGGUUUAUUUGCUGCUUGUUCCCGACCAAUAUCA
rnacentral:sRNA from 1 species